rnacentral:lncRNA from 1 species
CAAACAAUGUAUUUACAAAACUUAAAAGAAAUAAUAAUUUUAAGAAAUUACAUUCAGAGAAUGUAAUAGUAAAUCAGAAAAGCAAUUUACUUUCAAAAAUAUUGAAUGUGGCUGUAAAAAACAAAAAUAAAUACUAAUAAUAACAAAUAUGGAUGUCUGGAUAUAAAUAAUUUUUUAUUAACAGAAGAACAACUACGUACGUUUCAUUACCCUAUGAAAGAUACAUCUGAAUAUAUAAACUUUAAUAAUAUACCCUAUGUGGAACGAAAAAUAAAAAUAAAUAAUAUUAAUGAAUAUUUAAAUAAAAGUAUGAAUAGCACAAAUACGAUCAAUAUAUAUAAAUAUAUGCUUGGGGAGUUAGACUGUGAAGAUCAGUCUAAUUUGUUGUUUAUACAGGACACAAACAAAGAAAUAGAAAAUGAAGAAAUAAAAAAUGAAGAAAUAAAAAAUGAAGAAAUAGAAAAUGAAGAAAUAAAAAAUGAAGAAAUAAAAAAUAAAGAAAUAAAAAAUAAAGAAAUAAAAAGUAAAGAAAUAGAAGAUCUGAAUAGUGAAAAAUUGUAUAAUAGUAGCAGUAUAUUUACAAAUGAACAGGUAAUAGAUGUAGAUAGCAGAUUUGAUUCGACAUAUGAAAAAAUAGAAGAAACUGAUAAAAAGGUAUUUACAAAUGAAAAUAUAAAAUUAUACACUGGUAUAUUAAACAGAAUUUUAUUUUUAUCAGCAAAAAAUAAAAAGAAACAAAAUAAAAAAAAAAAUAAAAAAAAUAUGACUGUAUCGAAUGAUAAAGAUGGUUGUAACAAUACUUUGAAUAAUGAUUUAUUAGAAAUUAAAAAAGAAGUAUUUCAUAAAAUGAAUAAUAAUAAUAAUAAUAAUAAUAAUAUCAUGUCGGAUGUUUUGGAUGGCCAUUCCUCAAAUGGCGACCUUCCAAAUGGAGACCUCUCAAAUGGAAACCUGAUACAUGGAAUUAAUUGUUUGAGUAAAAAAAAUGUUGAUAAUACUAAUGACCAAGUAGAAAAUGAAAAAUACGAAUCGGGAAUUGUAGCGGAAGAAAAAAAAACAGGUGUGACAGACGUAG